CAGGUGUGGCCACUGCCCUACAUCUGUUAUAGAAAGUGCGCUUGGGAAGGCUGGGUCGGUGUCUAGGUAAGGUUGGGUUGGGUUAGCAAGCCAUGAGAUAAAAAUCAGCCAUAACUGGGAUCUUGGAACUACGUAGCAGACAAGGCGAGCAGCAUACCACCCUGCAUCCCACUGCUGGCUUGCUUCUGAAGCUAAGCAGGGCCAGUCCUUGGAUGGGAGACCAGAUGCUGCUGGAAGUGGCGCUGGAGGCCCACUUGCGCCAACUCUGGGUUGGCAUUAUGCCCAUUAUCUUAAAAAAAUAUCCCAAUGCCCCAGGGCAGUGAUUGGGGACGUUGCCCUGUUUAGGGUGCCGUCUUUUGGAUGGGACGUUAAAUGGGUGUCCUAACUCUCUGUGGUCACUAAAGAUCCCAUGGCACUUAUCGUAAGACUAGAGGUGUUAACCCCCCGGUGUCCAGGCUAAAUUCCCAAUCUGGCCAUCAUAGCCACCUAAUCAUCCACACCAUACAAUUGGCUCAUUCAUCUCCUCUCCCCAUAACUAUUCCCAGGUCGUUGCUGUAAAUGAGAAUGUGUUCUCAGUCAACUUACCUGGUUAAAUAAGGGUUAAAUAAAAAUGAAUAAUAUAGUCCAGAGUGCAUUGCAUGGUGCUGUAGCCAGAUAUUUGAGAAAGGGGAUUGGAAUCCAAUGAAUGAAGGAACAUAUAAUGCCCCACCCAGCAGACUGUCGACCAAUCGCAUUCACAGUGUCAUGCUGCGUCACACGGUUGCUAAGCUGGCUACAGCUGUCCUGUCUCAAUGUCGAGAAAUGUGCCUAUUUUCCUCGUAAUGUCAUGAUUCCAAAGCUAUACAAUAUUACAGACAGCAAGUUUCUCACAUCUCUGAAAAGAUUUGUAACAUUGUACUUCUUGUUGACAAAAUUCUUGCUAAUGUUGGGUUUUGCACAAGGGCCCAAUAGACUCCCAUUCACUCUUUGAAGUAGAGCUCCUUGUCCCAGAAUUGCCCAGAAUGCACCGCACGGCCCAUGGACGUAGCAUGGGCAACACUUCCCCAUCUCCUCAAAAUGAUAUCUGCCGUUGCAAAUGUCAGACACUACUCUUGAGGCACAUCAAUCAGCAGGUUGAACAUGCUGAGAUUGUAGACUCCUAAAUUGAUAGUGCAGUUUGUUUAGGUGAUUUUACAGCUAACUAGCUACUUUCCACGCUGAUAUUUGUCUUUGGUAUUAUUGUGUCAAGGUACGUCUGCUAGCUACCAAUCUUAUUAUAAUGCCAAAAUGAAACAUUUGUUCACAAAAAAAUUGUCAUUUAACACUAAAUUAAAAAGGAAUUAGUUGGUGGAUUUAACACUAGAACCGCUGAGCCUCUAGGGACCCCCCAUUUGAACAUCUUGGCCAUGUUCUGUUAUAAUCUCCACCCGGCACAGCCAGAAGAGGACUGGCCACCCCACAUAUGCUCUCUCUAAUUCUCUCUUUCUUUCUCUCUCUCGGAGGACCUGAGCCCUAGGACCGUGCCCCAGGACUACCUGACAUGAUGACUCCUUGCUGUCCCCAGUCCACCUGACUAUGCUGCUGCUCCAGUUUCAACUGUUCUGCCUUAUUAUUAUUCGACCAUGCUGGUCAUUUAUGAACAUUUUGGCCAUGUUCUGUUAUAAUCUCCACCCGGCACAGCCAGAAGAGGACUGGCCACCCCACAUAGCCUGGUUCCUCUCUAGGUUUCUUCCUAGGUUUUGGCCUUUCUAGGGAGUUUUUCCUAGCCACCGUGCUUCUACACCUGCAUUGCUUGCUGUUUGGGGUUUUAGGCUGUUUCUGUACAGCACUUUGAGAUAUUAGCUGAUGUACGAAGGGCUAUAUAAAUAAAUUUGAUUUGAUUUGAUUCAA